GACGAACGCUGGCGGCGUGCUAACCCCUGCAAGUCGAACGGAAAGGCCCUGCUUUUUGUGGGUGCUCGAGUGGCGAACGGGUGAGUAACACGUGAGUAACCUGCCCUUGACUUUGGGAUAACUUCAGGAAACUUGGGCUAAUACCGGAUAGGAGCUCCCGCUGCCUGGUGGGGGGUGGAAAGUUUCGGCGGUUGGGGAUGGACUCGCGGCUUAUCAGCUUGUUGGUGGGGUAGUGGCUUACCAAGGCUUUGACGGGUAGCCGGCCUGAGAGGGUGACCGGCCACAUUGGGACUGAGAUACGGCCCAGACUCCUACGGGAGGCAGCAGUGGGGAAUAUUGCACAAUGGGCGGAAGCCUGAUGCAGCAACGCCGCGUGCGGGAUGACGGCCUUCGGGUUGUAAACCGCUUUCGCCUGUGACGAAGCGUGAGUGACGGUAAUGGGUAAAGAAGCACCGGCUAACUACGUG
rnacentral:rRNA from 1 species